AUUGAACGCUGGCGGCAGGCCUAACACAUGCAAGUCGAGCGGAUGAAGGGAGCUUGCUCCUGGAUUCAGCGGCGGACGGGUGAGUAACGCCUAGGAAUCUGCCUGGUAGUGGGGGAUAACGUCCGGAAACGGGCGCUAAUACCGCAUACGUCCUGAGGGAGAAAGUGGGGGAUCUUCGGACCUCACGCUAUCAGAUGAGCCUAGGUCGGAUUAGCUAGUUGGUGGGGUAAAGGCCUACCAAGGCGACGAUCCGUAACUGGUCUGAGAGGAUGAUCAGUCACACUGGAACUGAGACACGGUCCAGACUCCUACGGGAGGCAGCAGUGGGGAAUAUUGGACAAAGGGCGAAAGCCUGAUCCAGCCAUGCCGCGUGUGUGAAGAAGGUCUUCGGAUUGUAAAGCACUUUAAGUUGGGAGGAAGGGCAGUAAGUUAAUACCUUGCUGUUUUGACGUUACCAACAGAAUAAGCACCGGCUAACUUCGUG
rnacentral:rRNA from 1 species